CUAGUGGCGGACGGGUGAGUAACGCGUGGGUAACCUGCCUUAUACAGGGGGAUAACAACCAGAAAUGGUUGCUAAUACCGCAUAAGCGCACAGGACCGCAUGGUCCGGUGUGAAAAACUCCGGUGGUAUAAGAUGGACCCGCGUUGGAUUAGCUAGUUGGCAGGGUAACGGCCUACCAAGGCGACGAUCCAUAGCCGGCCUGAGAGGGUGAACGGCCACAUUGGGACUGAGACACGGCCCAG
rnacentral:rRNA from 1 species